GGUAGCUCAACGGCAGAGCACUCGGCUGUUAACCGAGUUGUUGUAGGUUCGAAUCCUACCC
rnacentral:tRNA from 1 species